rnacentral:tRNA from 1 species
UUCCAAGGUAGCUCAACGGUGGAGCAACCGGCUGUUAACCGGUAGGCUGUGGGUUCCGAGUCACCAUUUGUGGGAUCAUAGCUCAGCUGGGAGA